GGCUGGCACUCACCAGAAGGCAGAAGAACCACAAUGGAUAGACCAUCUUGUGACCCUGGCCGCCUUGAUCUCUCCUGGGGGCAGGGAAGUGAGCCAUCAGAUCAGAGUUAUGUUCUAUGUUGCACACUUUGGAGCCUCAACGUCCUCCUCUGAACAAUGGGAAACAUCAUGGAGUAUCCUGAGUAUUGGAUGGACCAGCGUCUGGCAUAAAAUAAGAACAAUAUCGAUGUCAUUUAUCCUAAAAUAACUGAGAUAUUCUACCUCACUGAAGAUAUUCUACCCAUAAACAGACACCACUUGGGGGAAAUAGAGAAAUACUACUCUGCUCAAGACUUGAAGAGCGACUUAUAAACACACCAAUACCUAAGGUCUCCACCUAGUCUACCACGUGUCUGAAGUGAACCAGAUGCCAUCUACUGGGACCCUCCCCAAGUAUUUAUAGAAGCAUAUGCAGCAUUGUGAAUUUACGGUCGUGCAUGUACAGCCUCGUGCAUGCACAGUGUCAAUGUCCAGUCUUGCCCUUGAAGCACCGUGCAAACAGAGCAUGGAAAUGAAACUGUUGCACCUGAUUUCUGAGAGAAGGGAACCAGUGGCCACUCUGGUUUUACUGGUAGUCACCUGAAAGCAACUCAGUUUAGCAGAGGCCAAAGCUGUGUAGCUGCUCUCACAGGCUAGAAAGGUUGAGUUCCUCUGUUUGCUUGGCCUCUGCUCAUUUGUCUCCUGAAUAUUCAGAACCCAAGAUUGCUGUCCAUCUGUGUCAGCUCUGAAAAGAGAUUCCCAGAUCCAGCACUGCAGGUUACCCUUGUCUGAUAGAGCCAUUUGUUAGAUGUUCCUUUUUUUGCCUAUUUGACUAUGCAACUAAAAAUAAGUCAAAUCGCACCUCUCUGCCACACACAUCUGCCAUCCCCAGUUGCCACCUCAGACACCAAAAGGGACUGCCAGGUGCUGUGCUCGACACACAUGUCCACUUUCCCCUUCAUUCCCCCCCCCUUUCCGGUAGACACGUUCAUUCCUCCAACUCCGCCAUCGCCAUCCCAUGAGAAAUGAUUACUGCUUUUAGAUUGAGAUAUUUUUAACUAAUAACCCCAGUCGCAUCUGUUUAUUGUUUAGCUUGCAUGGAAUGAUUUAGAAGAAGAUAAUAGCAAUUUCAAUGGAAUCCCACCUAUUCUUUUCUGUCUGUCACUUCCCUGUCAGAGAAACAAAGCUCUUUGUCUCCAUCCUCCCUGUCUGCAUCCCUCUCUGGCUGGCUUUGUCUUCUUGCCUCCCUUGACACUCAGUUUUCUGUACCUCUGCUUCUUCCCUUCCGUUCCCCUCCUCCCCUCCCCCUGCAUUCAUUUCAUCAUGAUCCAGGCCUCUAACCCCUGGUUCUUCCCCCAUCUGCUUCCUAAUUUCAUCCUUGGUAAUCCAGAUGGUGGAUAUACUAGAGGCUAGUUUAUGUUUAUUCUAUACUGUAAGUGGCUGGGAUGGAGGAUGUCUCUGUGGUUAAAGACUUGCCUACCAUUCAUGAGACACCCCACCUCACCCCACCCCCAGUCUAAUUCCUAGCACUGGAAUGAAAAGGAAAGGCCAAUCACCACUCUCCCCUCAUAACUGCUUUCUUUGAUGGAUACCUGCAAGCCUUGGUCCUCUCCCCCAUGGGCCAGUAAAGGCCCUUCCUUUGCCUGUUGCCUAAGUUUCACUGUUAGGCCCAACAUAUGUAUUCAUUCUCCUGCACUUGGUGUGUGUGUGUGGGGGGGGGGGUGCCUAUCUGAUCCAGACCAGAAAAAAGCCUCUCUGCGUGUGUACUCUCACUCACACCCUUGCCCUACAUUUAAACUCAGCUGCAAAACCCUGCAUGCCAGUGAGCUGGGCAAGGAAAGGCACUGGAAAUACAAGCCUAAUUUAAAUUCAUACAUGCUCAUAAUAAUAAAUAAAAGGUUUUUCCAGUUGCUUUGUCAAAAGGUAAAUAAAGCUCAAACCAUAUUAACCCCUUAGGCUUCUCUAUGGCCACCUCUGCCAAUAUUCACUUCAGACUUGCAUGGCUUGGACCAUUAGUUGAUUCUCAACUGUGAUGGCCACCUUCUAAUGCCCAUACUGAGAAGGUCAUGCAAUAGGUACAAGGACCUGAAUAAUUGCAUUUCUUUAAGCUUCAUUUGUUGAAAGGCACCUUUCAUUGUGAUUGUACUAAGUAAGGUUUGUCAUGGACGGUGAUUAAGACAUGAAGGUGUCACCCCGUGACUGUUCUUGUGCUCAUAUAAAAGAGUUCCAGGGGAGCAUAUUUGCGCCAACUGGUGGCCACACCACUGGAGAGUAUCAUCUAUGACACCAGGAGUCUCUCCAGAGCAGCCAGCAUCAAGACCAUGAAGUUCCCAUUGUUUAUAAGCCAUCUUGUCUAAGCUAUUGGUGCAGCUUGACCUGACAACAGGCCUUCGGGAGACAUUCACUGAUGGAGCAUCUCCAAAGUGUUCGAUAUUCCUAGACAUUGCCUGCCAUACCCUCUUUAAAGACAUCUACCAAGCCCUUACUCCAUUAAAAAAUGAAAUAGAAAUGACUCAGCCCCUCAAGACCCAUGUUGCUUGCUUUGGUUCUCACCAGCCAUGUCCAAGGAACACACUGUUCUCAUGUAUUCUGGGACUUCCCAUGAUUAUAGCAGGACGUAGAAAACCCUCUAUCCUUCUCUGUCUAAGGCAACAUGGCCAUAUCCUUCAACAUCGCAUGUCCUGAAGAAUUAUCUUUCCCCCCAUAGCUAUCAUUUCAUUUAUCAUGAAAUGUCACAAUGGUACCUUGGUCUCCUGGGUUACAAGGCUUCUAAGGCCAAGAAACUCUUGUCUGUUCAUCUUGCUGACUGAAUAACAUUUCACAGUGAAGUCCUUGGAUGUCACCUCAUCAGAUCCUGAUCAGCUUUAGAGCCCCUGGCUGACCCGUGGAACUGCUGGAUCACAUUGUGUCAGGGACAGGGUACUCUUGGACAGUUCCCAUGUGUUGGAGAACAUGUCUAUGGAGUCUAGUGAAUAUUUGAUAAGUAGAACUAUAAUUGAAACUACUAAGAUUCCCAUUAAAAAUCUGCCCCCUUUUCUCUUGUCUGGGGUAGUAGCUUAUCAGGUGACAGACCCAGAUAAUUGGCUCUGCCUAGAUCAAAGUGACUUAGGGGGAAACAGCUUUGCAUUAUUCUCUGGGUCAAGCAAAGUUCCCAUUGUCCUGUCCAAAUGCCAAAUUGCAUUUAGGGUCACUCAGAGUCCGGAAGAUGGUUGACUGUGAUAAGGACUCAGACAUUCUUGCUCAAGUGGGAAACUGGUAUUCGUGAGCAUACUCUACAUUUUUAGCUCAGCAAAGCCAUGUCCUUAAGUAGUUCACAAGGGUCUUCUAAUGAGCCAUCCAGCUCUCUUUACUGUGCUUAUCAGCAAUGGGGAUAACUCUGUUCGGUUAAUAGUCCUUUCGUGACUCUGGGUGGACUGUGAAUAGGCCUUAGAGAGCUUUUCAGUUGUAGGAGAGGCCAGUGAACAACUGUGAGGAUGGAUAAGGCUUGGCCACAGCAUCUCUAAUGCCUUUUGAAGUAUCCCUUUAAUGUUGGUCUCUAUCAUCAUCGCCAUGAGAUGUGUUGUAAAAUGUACUAUGUCAAGAAACAUUAUAAACUUAGGUUAUGUGAAAGACCUGGGAGAACACAAAGGAUACUUAAAAGACUGGUUUGUUAGCAAAAGGGCAAAUUAUUUUAAAAGCCAAUACUGAGUCAACACACCUACCUCUGGCUAUAUAAUCAAAGGACUUGACAUCCCUAGAUUAAAGAGUCAUGUGCGCUCCCAAACUCAUGUAAUAUAAUUCACAGUAGCCAAAGUAUAGGGCCUUCCUAAGAGUCAUCAAUGGGUGAACACAUGGAGGAAACGUCGUACCUAUUCACUGUGCAGUAGUAACGAACCUAGAAGAAGGAGUCUUUCUUUUGUGAUGACAUAGAUGGAGAACAUUAUGACAGUAAAAUAAGCCAGGCAUAGGUAAAAAAAAAAACAAACCCAUUCUCAUUUAUAUGUAUUGAACUUGGAGGAACAAAGUCAAAUGGUGUUUAUCAGGGCUAGGGGUGUUGUCCAAAGGCCAGAAAGUCAUAGACAGGAAAAACAAGUAAAUAUAGUAAAAUGCAAGGUAAUGAAUAUGGUAACUGAGUUGAUAUCAUUCCCCACAAUGGUGUACACCAUACUAUCACUGUGUACCCCUAUAAUUAUAUAUGGCUGUCAUUAGUCACAUAUAAUGACAAAAUAAAAGAAUGAGUACAUGUAACAAGAGUAUAUAAUAUAGUAGAACCACACAUAGAUGUUGUGAAUACAUACUAUAGACCUGAGAGGUGGAUCAGGAGAAGGGGACAGCAGGAGUGACUUGCUGUCACUCUGAGUUAUUCCUUUGUCUAAUAGUUGAGACCUGGACAUCAAUACAGAAUGGCUCUUAAGCCACCUCCUAGAUGGCUCAUCUGCCGCAGCAGCAGAGCAGAGCAUGAGAGGCCAUCGAUUUUGUUUUAGUCUGAAUUACAUAUUCUUUAAUAUCUUCAUUAUUUAUUCAUCUCUCAAAUAACAUAGUCUUAAUGAUGAAACCACAAAGCCUUCAUCAUCCAAAAAAAGAUGCUAUACUCAACAUUACAUCAAAGUAUACAUUCCUUUAGACAUUUCUCUGUGUGUAUUCAGUGUGAUCUAAUAGAAUAUUUUGCUUUUUAAUGCUCCUAUAUCGAGUUACCAUAAACAGCAGCUUAAAACAAUGCACACUCAUCAUCUUAUAUUUCUGAGGGUUAGAAGUCCAACACAGAUCUAACUGAGUAAAGUUAGGGUGUGGACAUGGCCGGGCUCCCUCUAGAUGGGAAUCUUUUCAAUCCUCUUUUUCCACAUUCCUUGGCUCAAUGUCACCUUCCUCCUCCUUUAUAGCCUCUAGCCUCUAUGUUGCCUCUCACACCACCUUUUGCUGGCCACAUCUCCUCUUUACUACAGCUGGGAAAAUUUUAAUUGUAUUUUAAGGACCUAUGCAAUCAUACCAGGCUAACAUGAACAGCAGAGAUGCCCAUCUCCAGGUCUCUAGUUUAGUUACAACUGCAAAGUCUCAUCGUGGAAGGUCACACAUUUGCAUGUUAUAGGGAUCAGGACAUGGACACACUUAUGGCCAUCGUUCUGCCUGUCACAUGUGGAGACAAGACAAGGAAUAUUUUUGGAGAUUAGGUGAAUUACCCAAGUUACAAAGCUGAUAAACGCAUUUGUUAAACUCAAGCGGUGUAAUCAGACUCUUAACCAAUGCCAAUUUCUGGUAAAAGAAGAAUGUUCGAGAAGAGAGCAGAGGGUUCGGAUGAACUUAAACCAAGCCUUCCAGAUGUAAACACUUGGUUCCAGCUGCAGACUCUAUCAUCUUAACUAUUUCUCAACAGCGGUCCUCUGUGGAAGUACAAUAGAAGACUUCCUAUAUCUAAGGCCACUUAUGAUACUUCUCACAGCCCUCCCAGCUCCCCCCACUGCCUCUCCUCAUCCCUUGCCCUGCCUCUUGAUGCCUACCAAUUGCACCUUCAUGGGAUCCUGGACUGUGCUGCCAUUCAUGUCUACGGCCUAGAUGAGAGGAUCUGGUUUAGUCUGCUCGUGGGUAAAAGUCCUGAAUAUUCUUGCUGUGUGGAAUUAGUCCACUGGGUUAUGUGCCUGGCUGUGGGACAGCUCAUGGAUAGCUGUCUUCACAAGCAAAUAGGUUUUAUGGUUCUAGCAGCCAAGGACCAUGGGGAUCAAAUAGAAUCAACUGCAUGCGACAACUUAAGAAGUAG
rnacentral:sRNA from 1 species